rnacentral:sRNA from 1 species
CUGUAGUAAUAUACAUUUUAUUUAUCUCCACAGUACAGCACAGACAGUGUCAGUAUAACUUUCCCCACACAGCUCUGCCAACGGGCCUCAACCCUGACCUUGAGGGAAAGAGCAAUUCAUUCUAUGUGCCAAUUCAAUUCUUGGCCUGU